AUCGCUGGCCGUUCGAUCAGCUUCUUCGAUCGUCUUUCACCCUCGAUUUUUACUAUUCACUUCUAUCUUUUGUUACAACUUUGACUGCUUUACCGGGUGGCUGCCAUUGGGCCCAUAAAAUCAUUGGUCCACGCGGCAGCGGAGUGCUCAUCAACUCGGUCUGUGACAAGUAGCAGCAGCAGCAGCAUCAUGGUUGGGUUGGAGCUACAGCGGCCAGCCACCAGGACGACGCUGACAGCCAAAGAAAGCUCCUUCCUCACCGCUGACAGCCAAAACCGCUCUUGUGCUCAUCAAGGUUAGUCAAUGUAUAGGACUGCGCUUUUGUGUGUCCUUUUCUUCAAGCUCUCAUUCAAGAGAAGAGAGGAGCGAGGCCUUGAUCCAGACUCAGGAGGAGGAGACGAGGAGCAACACCUAUUUUUGUUGUCCGUCAAGCCCCAUUAUACUUUCGGGUUCCAGCCACCUGAUCACUAACCUGAAUGAGUAAGUAGACCAUUAUAUAUGAUGGUCUUGCUUCCUUUUGUGAUCAUGUAUCUAUGUUAGAUCCGGUGAGAAAAGGCGGCUUCCAAGCAGAGGAUGCGGCAGUGUUGGCCACGUUUGGUUUUCAUAAGCUAAUAAUGUAUCCCUUCCUGUCUACUUCCUUUGUGUACCACAUUAUAACUAAGCAUCUAUGUACCAGCA